rnacentral:rRNA from 1 species
GGAGUAUGGACCGUGUCUCAGUUCCAUUGUGACCGUUCAUCCUCUCAGACCGGCUACCGAUCGUCGCCUUGGUAGGCUCUUACCCCACCAACUAGCUAAUCGGACGCAGGCUCCUCGCAAAGCGAUAAAUCUUUAGUACAGAAUCCAUGCGAACUCCGCACAACAUCCGGUAUUAGCGUCACUUUCGCAACGUUGUCCCCGACUUUGCGGCAGAUUACCUGCGCUUUACUCACCCGUUCGCCACUAGCACCGAAGUGCCCGUUCGACUUGCAUGUGUUAAGCACGCCGCCAGCGUCGUCUGAGCCAUGAUCAAACUACU